rnacentral:other from 1 species
GCGGUACUGCCCGGUACGAUCUGGAGUGAAAAUCCCUGAGGCUAUAAGCAAAUCCAAGGGAGCUGUCCCUGCCCGGUGCACCAGUUCGGCUGUGGCAUCGAUGCAUAUGGCGCCCACCUGACGUUGAGGCGUCAGAGGAUUUCCAAGAAAACGGCCCAUGGUGGUUCCGCC